ACGGGAGGCAGCAGUGGGGAAUUUUCCGCAAUGGGCGAAAGCCUGACGGAGCAAUACCGCGUGAGGGACGAAGGUCUGUGGAUUGUAAACCUCUUUUGAUAGGGACGAUAAUGACGGUACCUAUCGAAUCAGCAUCGGCUAACUCCGUGCCAGCAGCCGCGGUAA
rnacentral:rRNA from 1 species